UACAGAGCAGCGAGCGUUGUUCGGAGUUACUGGGCGUAAAGCGUGCGUAGGCGGUUGUCUAAGUCUGGUGUGAAAUCUCCCGGCUCAACUGGGAGGUGCGCCGGAAACUGGAUGACUGGAGUGCCGGAGAGGUAAGCGGAAUUCCUGGUGUAGCGGUGAAAUGCGUAGAGAUCAGGAGGAACACCUGUGGUGUAGACAGCUUACUGGACGGUGACUGACGCUGAGGCACGAAAGCGUGGGUAGCAAACAGG
rnacentral:rRNA from 1 species